CACUGGACUGAGACACGGUCCAGACUCCUACGGGAGGCAGCAGUGGGGAAUAUUGCACAAUGGGCGCAAGCCUGAUGCAGCCAUGCCGCGUGUGUGAAGAAGGCCUUCGGGUUGUAAAGCACUUUCAGUCGUGAGGAAGGUGGUAGUGUUAAUAGCACUAUCAUUUGACGUUAGCGACAGAAGAAGCACCGGCUAACUCCGUGCCAGCAGCCGCGGUAAUACGGAGGGUGCGAGCGUUAAUCGGAAUUACUGGGCGUAAAGCGCAUGCAGGUGGUUUGUUAAGUCAGAUGUGAAAGCCCGGGGCUCAACCUCGGAAUAGCAUUUGAAACUGGCAGACUAGAGUACUGUAGAGGGGGGUAGAAUUUCAGGUGUAGCGGUGAAAUGCGUAGAGAUCUGAAGGAAUACCGGUGGCGAAGGCGGCCCCCUGGACAGAUACUGACACUCAGAUGCGAAAGCGUGGGGAGCAAACAGGAUUAGAUACCCUGGUAGUCCACGCCGUAAACGAUGUCUACUUGGAGGUUGUGGCCUUGAGCCGUGGCUUUCGGAGCUAACGCGUUAAGUAGACCGCCUGGGGAGUACGGUCGCAAGAUUAAAACUCAAAUGAAUUGACGGGGGCCCGCACAAGCGGUGGAGCAUGUGGUUUAAUUCGAUGCAACGCGAAGAACCUUACCUACUCUUGACAUCCAGAGAACUUUCCAGAGAUGGAUUGGUGCCUUCGGGAACUCUGAGACAGGUGCUGCAUGGCUGUCGUCAGCUCGU
rnacentral:rRNA from 1 species